CGUACGCUCGUACUUUGUAUCGACAAGCCACGUGGCCAGAGAUAUUAAAGGAAAUGUAUUGCAAACGGGAAAGUAUAGAGAUAAUGAAGGCAAUGAAGGCGAAUGUGUAACUUUUAUACUUCUGUUAAAACCACAAUAUAUAAUGGAUGUUUGUUAUUUGGAUCUAACUACCUAUAAUGGGGCUAAUAAGGUUAUAAGUUACCCAUUUGUUGAUCUUUCAUCUGAUAUUAAG